GAUUCGGGAGCCUGCUGAGGACAGAUGAAAUGGAUGUGGCUGUCAAAGCCACCAUAAGUGACAAUAUCCUUUUCAGCAGCAAUGACAUCGGUGUUGGAGCCAAUGACCAUGUUAGGAUCAACACCAUCCAUAAUAUCCGGAUUGCCAGCUUUGCCAAUUCCUACGAUAAUGCCAUCCUUGACACCGAUAUCAGCCUUGUAGAUACCAGUGUAGUCGACGAUCAGAGCGUUGGUAAGAACCAGGUCCAGGCAGUCCUUGUCCGAGCGUCCAGAAGAUUGACCCAUGCCAUCACGAAU
rnacentral:sRNA from 1 species